AUCGGGUAGACUAUAGGUCAGACUACGAAAACAGUCCGCUCUGAUGACGCACUUCAGCCUCUUUUUUUUGCUUUCCUGUUGGCGGAUCGAUAGCAGCGUGGUGACCCUGCUUCAACCACAUCUCUGCAAAUCUGCGGGCCGGGAAGGAAGCAACAUCUGGUGCAUUUACAGAGAUGAAAAGCAGAUUGUGCAGUGUGGACACAUUCAUUCUGUUUCUGCCAUCUGUAAGAAUGUGGUUCAUGGCGCUGAAACCUCUUUCACACUCGGCUGUGGACACUAGGAGUGUGGAGACAGCGGUGAGAACUUUGCGCAUGCUCUCUCCUGUGACACCGUGACAUUUAAACUCAUCGAACUCCUUCAGGAGUAUGGGACUGGUUGCGGCCUCAACAGCAAGAGUUUUGUGUAUGGCGAGAAGUUUUUCAUCGCCGUAGAGGAUGCGCUCGUCUUCAUCAGAUGGCCAGUUUGAUGGAUUUAGAGCGGCGGCGGCAGAGAUUAUCCCGUUGUCAUCCAGCCUGCGCUCACGCGCGACGCCUCUGACUCGCUCCCGGUAGAUCAAAAUCACAGCACAAUCAAAAUGAAGACGGACCCUGUGUAUUUUGGUUGUUAAUUAUUACGAUGUAAUGGUGAAAAUACUUUGGGUGGGGGGGAUAAUUUUUAUCCCCACCGAGGAUAAAAAUAAUUCAGCAGAGGGUAGGACGUGUAAACCAGAGGGGGGGAUAAUCCCCACCAUCCCCACCGGCAAAUCGCACCCUGGAUAUACCCAGUGGUGUAGUGGUCCCUUGAGAAGUGGGUAUACUCUAAAUGUUUGCCCUUUUUUAACGCAGCCCAGAAAAACGCCCAGUUUUAGAAACAGACAUGUGAGAAUACUCUAUUUAGUUUACCCAAAAAUCCUUCAGUAGUAUUUGCUCAUUGACACAUCAUUUCUGCUGCUUGAUGUCAGGGAGGAAGGAUUAUGAAAUUAUUAAACCAAUACUGGCCCACAGACUAGUGACAGACAACUAUGCAUUUUGACUGAACUAUUCCUUAUUCCUGGAAUGACACCUAUUCUCUCACUUGGCAAGUCAGUAAUUUCUUUUGUAAAUUGUCUUUGAACAGCUGAUUUGCAACACAUAGCAUGGGCCAGAGUGGGCCACUAUUAUAAAAUGAACAUGACUUGAUCAGGAGCAGAUUUUAGGUAUUGCAAAAUAUAGAUGAGGCAAAUAUGGUGUUUCAGUAAUUUUUUUAACAUUUAUUUAAAUAAAAUACUUCAGAUCUGAAUUUGACAAUGCAUCCUUAUUCAUAUUUCACCUUAGAUUAAAAAAAAGGCACAUCAUUCUCUUCCACAUCAAUCAUCUAUUUAGAUAUAUAUAAUAUCAAUAUAUAUAUAAAUAUCAUAUGAUGAUUGUUAGGACUAAAAGGGUCUUGCUACUUUUUUGUACAUUUUUCCAUCACAGUAUGCUUGGUACCUUGCCAUGGAGGCACCGUUUGACUUCACUGUUGUAAGUAGGCAUUACAAAAAAUGAAGAAAGAGCUGACGAUUGAAAAGAUACGUUUAAAAUAAGAAUUGGAUUUUUGACAUAUGUAAGGUUACAACAUCGAAAAAUUCAUACUUGUAUACAUAUUUUAUCAUUGUCAAUUCUUGGAAUAUCCCCUUACUUUAGAAAAACAUGCCUGUCCCCAGAAAAUGGUGGUGCACAGUACUGCUUGAGAACUUCCACCUGGAUGGGCACGGCAGAAGGUUCCCACACUUCAUGGAGGAGGCCAAACAAAUGGCGGCUGGACUACUUCCACCAGUCCUCAGACUGAAGCGAAAAAGAGAAGUGAAUGACGUUUCCAGUGACAGAAUACAAAUAAUAUAUUGUAUAGGCUUAACAUUGAUUUGACUGUUUGAUUCUUUUGACAGUGAGUUGGAGCUGAUGUCAGUCAACAUGAAUAAGCUAUAUCUUUAAGCUUCUGUAGAUUAUUUGUUAAAUAAAUUGUGAGGAAA